GAUCUUCGGAUGAGCCUCCACAUCAUAUAAAUCCCAGACGGACUUUCCUAGCGACCGGACUUCUCCGGACUCCGCCAACAGAAAAUCUCCAUCCGAGCUCCUAUGGUAGGUGACUCCCGCCUGAAACAUCAGCGACCUCGGAACAUCCAAGCCUCUCCCAGAACAACGAUGUGAAGAGCCAUUCUGCUCCAUCAGGCAUCCCAGCCGAGCUUCAACCGACGGAUCCGAACUCUCUGACAAGCCAUGACAAGAGCCGCCACCCUGCUCCACUCUCUGCAACGGAUUUCAUGCAGCUCCACCACUCUCUGGCAAAUCACGACAACAGACACCACUCCACCCCCUGCA
rnacentral:lncRNA from 1 species